rnacentral:rRNA from 1 species
GGAUGAACGCUGGCGGCGUGCCUAAUACAUGCAAGUCGAACGAAUCUCUUUUAGAGAUGAGUGGCGAACGGGUGAGUAAUACAUAGGUAACCUGCCCCUGUGCGGGGGAUAACAGGAGGAAACUCCUGCUAAUACCGCAUAGCCAUGAGCACCGCAUGGAGCUCAUGCCAAAUAUCCUUUCGGGGAUAGCGCAGGGAUGGACCUAUGGCGCAUUAGCUGGUUGGCGGGGCAACGGCCCACCAAGGCAACGAUGCGUAGCCGGCCUGAGAGGGCGGACGGCCACAUUGGGACUGAGACACGGCCCAGACUCCUACGGGAGGCAGCAGUAGGGAAUUUUCGGCAAUGGGGGAAACCCUGACCGAGCAACGCCGCGUGAGCGAAGAAGGCCUUCGGGUCGUAAAGCUCUGUUGUAAAGGAAGAACGGCGCAUACAGGAAAUGGUAUGCGAGUGACGGUACUUUACCAGAAAGCCACGGCUAACUACGUGCCAGCAGCCGCGGUAAUACGUAGGUGGCGAGCGUUAUCCGGAAUCAUUGGGCGUAAAGAGGGAGCAGGCGGCCGCAAGGGUCUGUGGUGAAAGACCGAAGCUAAACUUCGGUAAGCCAUGGAAACCGGGCGGCUAGAGUGCGGAAGAGGAUCGUGGAAUUCCAUGUGUAGCGGUGAAAUGCGUAGAUAUAUGGAGGAACACCAGUGGCGAAGGCGACGGUCUGGGCCGCAACUGACGCUCAUUCCCGAAAGCGUGGGGAGCAAAUAGGAUUAGAUACCCUAGUAGUCCACGCCGUAAACGAUGGUCACUAAGUGUCGGGGGUCAAACCCCGGUGCUGCAGUCAACGCAAUAAGUGACCCGCCUGAGUAGUACGUUCGCAAGAAUGAAACUCAAAGGAAUUGACGG